rnacentral:rRNA from 1 species
UACCGAGGGUGCAAGCGUUGUUCGGAAUUAUUGGGCGUAAAGGGCGCGUAGGCGGUGCGGUAAGUCUGUAGUGAAAUCUCUGGGCUCAACUCAGAGUCUGCUGCAGAAACUGCCGUGCUUGAGUGUGGGAGAGGUGAGUGGAAUUCCCGGUGUAGCGGUGAAAUGCGUAGAUAUCUGGAGGAACACCGGUGGCGAAGGCGGCAUCCUGGACCAAUACUGACACUGAGGAGCGAAAGCCAGGGGAGCAAACGGG